AAAGGGGUGGUAUCUUGAGCUUCAUUUCAGGGCUGAAGCCAGUGGGGAGGGGAUUUCUUGCUGGAGAUCUCUCCUCUGUGGGGUUUUUCUGUGAGCCUAGGUCUUCAGAGACAGGAAAUGGACAGAAAGGAACGCAAUACUGGGAGAGUGAUGAGCUAGAUAUGAGUGGAAUGGAAAGAACCCAUGAGCCAUCUUAACUACCAGCAGAUAAACCUUAAAUGAGAACUGCAGUUGGAUGGGACCUGCAAAAUGCAGCAAAUUGUACAGAGGCAUGGAAAAGACUUAUACCUGGUCUAAAUUUGAGUUAUUAUGUAAAAUUAUGCUAUCUAACCUGCAUGUCUAAAUAUAGAAAGCAUGUCAGGUUCAAAAAAUCCCUCCCCUGAGACAGCACUCAGGGGAGUAAUGUAUGUUCUGUGUUCACACUUUUCCACCCAGAUACCCCAACAGCCAGUGCUGGAGAAGGGCUUCUGGGAUAGACGAGGCGUUAGACAGCAAUAUGCUCCUUGU